rnacentral:rRNA from 1 species
GAUGAACGCUGGCGGCGUGCCUAACACAUGCAAGUCGAACGGAGACUACUUUCGAGCGGUCUGAGUGGCGCACGGGUGAGUAACACGUAGCUUAUCUGCCCCGGACAGUGGGAUAACUACCCGAAAGGGUUGCUAAUACCGCAUAAGCUCACGCUGACUAGAAGAGUGUGAGAAAAGAUAAUAUCGGUUCGGGAGGAGGCUGCGGCCCAUCAGGUCGUUGGUAAGGUAACGGCUUACCAAGCCGAAGACGGGUAGGGGGCCUGAGAGGGUGACCCCUCACACGGGGACGGAGACACGGCCCAGACUCCUACGGGAGGCAGCAGUGAGGAAUAUUGCUCAAUGGGCGCAAGCCUGAAGCAGCGACGCCGCGUGGGUGAUGAAGGUCUUCGGAUCGUAAAACCCUUUUGCAGGAGACGAGGAAGGACGGUACCCUGUGAAUAAGUGUCGGCUAACUACGUGCCAGCCGCCGCAGUAAAAC